UGGGGAAUUUUGGACAAUGGGGGAAACCCUGAUCCAGCCAUCCCGCGUGUGCGAUGAAGGCCUUCGGGUUGUAAAGCACUUUUGGCAGGAAAGAAACGUCAUGGGUUAAUACCCCGUGAAACUGACGGUACCUGCAGAAUAAGCACCGGCUAACAACGUGCCAGCAGCCGCGGUAAUACGUAGGGUGCAAGCGUUAAUCGGAAUUACUGGGCGUAAAGCGUGCGCAGGCGGUUCGGAAAGAAAGAUGUGAAAUCCCAGAGCUCAACUUUGGAACUGCAUUUUUAACUACCGGGCUAGAGUGUGUCAGAGGGAGGUGGAAUUCCGCGUGUAGCAGUGAAAUGCGUAGAUAUGCGGAGGAACACCGAUGGCGAAGGCAGCCUCCUGGGAUAACACUGACGCUCAUGCACGAAAGCGUGGGGAGCAAACAGG
rnacentral:rRNA from 1 species